rnacentral:tRNA from 1 species
GGAAAUGUGCCCGAUAACAAGGACUACUUUGAUAGAGUAACACAUAGGGCUCACCCCCUCAUUUCCU